CUGGAAUAAAACCUAUGGACCCAACAGCCAGUCUCAACAAUGGUGACCAGUUCAUGACCAACCUUGUUCGUCUCUAUUCCCCACUUGCCUCUAUCUCAGAUUAUUUAAAUUCACCCUGUUUGUGCUGACCUAAGGUCAUUAUUAUGACUAUAGCGACGUAGCAUGUGUAAUGCACCCUCCCUUCCGUGUAUUUAUUGUAUCUGUCCCUGCCUUUACAAGGACCCCCCAGUCUGUCUCCUAUAAUCUAGUCUCAGAAGGCAUAAUAGCUAUGGUGGUUAAAAUCCUGCAUCAAGUAAGAGCCCACGGGAUUUGAGAGAGCCUUUCCUACCUGGAUUUGAAAAACAAACAAACAAACAAACAAACAUUUUUUUUUAAUUAAGUAGGCUGUACCCCCAACAUAGGGCUCAAACUCACACCCCGGGGAUCACUCCACUGACUGAGCCAGCCGGGUGCCAUCUUUCCUAGAUGUUAACACUGGGCUUAUCUUGGCUUUCUCAGGCUGUUUCUGGAGGACUGAGGUUUAACACUUUUUGUCUCUUAAAAAUGCAAGUGUUUUAUCACGCUGUGUGCCUUUUUUUUUUUUUUGAGAAUGAAGUCAUUAUUAAUCGAUGCCAAGAAAUGGAAAACCACUAAUUUUUGAGGAAGAUUUUGAGACGUAAAUGAGGACUUGCAGGUGCACCCAAUCCAUCACCUACGGCACGUGCGCGAUGGGGCUUGUCUCGUUUUGCGGUUCAGCACCAGCCCUGGCAGCUUCGCUCCGGAGACGUUGUGAGCAACGGCGCUCAGACUUCUCACCCUCCCUGCCCCCCCUCCCCCCCUCCCCCCCCAGUUCUUUUUCCUGUUCUGCUUCACACUCCAGACUCAGUUUCCCACCGCAAACCUGCCGUGUGCCACCAUUUCUCUCCCUCUUGCCAGCUUCAGAUCUUCUCAGGCCCGUGAACUUCCAGGAUCCGACACUAGAUCUUUUCAGGUUGAGAACAAGACGCGCUUUUCCCGGUAGGACCCUUGUGCAGAAGAAAGAGGUGGGCUGGGGGGAUUUCAUGGCUCUCUCCGCUCCAUUUUGAAUUAAAACAGAAUCGAUCCCAUCAAAAGGCGCUGACUGAGGGCUUGGAAACUGUCAGGUGUCCUGCCUAUAGAGGCAUCACUUCCCUGGGCUGUGCGUGUACGAGGCCCCAAGGGUGGGCUGGUGGUGGGGCAGGGGCAGGCAGAGAACGCCACCGAGGAGGCUGGCCCGGGGUCAGAGGGCAGGCCUGAACCUGGGGCUUUCUCCAGGAGGGGAGUGUUGAGCCCUGAAUGGCAGGCCAGUAGGUGGUUCUGAGUGAGAAUGUGGUGAUGGCGGGUAGUAGGGUGGUUAACAGCAGUUCCCCACGUCUCCCUCCUCCCUGUUCCCAAGAGAUGUUGGUAGUGAUGACCCAGGACAUCCUGACCCAGCUCUGAGCCCGAGGAGGGUCCAACUUGCUGCCCUCAGAAAGUGCAAACAGAAGAGCCCACAGAUGGGAAGGAUGCCUUUUUUCUGGGAAACCAUAUCAGCAGUGGUAGCUCUGGGCUCACAGCAGCUCUGCAAAUCCCGUCGAAGCCCUUUUUACCUUUGCGUGAAUCUGUGAUGUACUUCUGAGUACUUAUCACGCACUAAGCGUGAUGCUCUGGGCCUUCCACACAUCACGCCUUGAGCCCCCAAGACAAGCCUAUGGUUGGGACCAUUAUCGUCUGUACUCUACAGACGGGUCAACUGAGGCCCAAAGCAGCACAGUCUCCUAAGUGUGACCUGGCCAGUGAGUGCCGGAGCUGAAGUCCCGGCGUCAGGACCCCCGAUCUGGAGCGGGUCUUGCCACGCGCCGCCUUUGAGGCUGGGUUUCUGUUCUCAUGGGGGCCACCUGGCGUCUCCCUUCCUGUUGUCCCUGCCGCAUGGGGCCAGCUCUCCUGUGGCGUCCUGACUGCUCAGCUCAUUAGAGGGGAGCGGCUCUACCCGGAGCCAGACCGCCGGCCCCAACGUCCAGUUUGGCUCUGUCAGCCCAGCUGGUGCAGGCAAACCCAUGGUUGCCUCAGGCGCCAAUUGUGGGCCACACCCUCAUAUCCCCUGUGGGAAUACGACAAAUGGCAGAGGGUGGGAUUUGUUUCUAAAGUAGACAAGAGUGAAGCAGACCAAGCAGGCACUCUGCAGCUGUGCCUGUCAGAAGCUUGCAAAAUGGGGAAAAAGCAAUGGGAGAGGCCUGUGUCACCAGCGGCCCCCCCACCAGAUGUGGGGGUUCUCCGGGUCCCGGGCAGGAAGGCUGUGUGGGAAACUGGGUCUACGGAUGGAGGGAUGCACACUUCAGAGGUCUUCCUAAGCUGUCUGUGGGGUGUCCAGACCGAGGGUUCUGCUCUUGGUGGGAGCUUUCUGGUUCCUGGUGAUGGGACGGGGGCUGGGCAGGAGUGUCGAGGGCACGUGUGUGUGCAUGCGGGGGCUUGUCAACGGGGAUCGCUAACAUCGGUCGCCUGACUGACUUCCAUCCUUGCAGGCCGGGAGUCCUGGCUGUCUGAGGAUAGUACCCUGCAUAGGGUAGCUUUGUCAACACAGGCAGUGCCUCACCAGGGUCAGGCCUCUGGAAGCUAUAGAAUCCAUUAUGGCUGCACAGCUUAGUUGCCUUAAAGAUCAACAUCAUCUUCAUUUCUGAAAGCCUAGCCGGUUGUGUCCAAAAUAUCAGAGGCCCAGUACUUAAAAAGAAAUGGGUGGCCAAUUUGGUUCAGAAUUAAUCUGUAAAAAAUAAAAUAUUUUUCGGGACACCUGGGUGGCUCA
ensembl:lncRNA